ACAUGCGGAUCACCCAUGU
rnacentral:misc_RNA from 1 species